UGAGGAGGGGACAAUUACUCCAAAAUCAUUUUCACGAUACUUAAAAUUUUCUACUCAAAAUUUCUCUCAAUUUCAACUUCAAUUAUUGAUUUCAAUCUUUCAAUUCCAACAAGCUAAGGAGGUUGGCGAGGCCUCUAAAGCUUAUGGGAAUGAGAAAGUAGGAGAAGCGUGACAGUUUCGGUUUUUACUCUUUAAUUUUUUAUUUUACUUUGUAUUAUCUUAAGUUGAAUGCUUAGGUUGUUGAAUAAACUAUAUGAUUAAGUUGAUUUUUGGUUGAAUAGAAUUGGUUAAGAUGCUUAAUGAAAUUAUUAAAUAUGUUUUAAUUGUUUAAACAAUUUUGAAAUGUAUUCGGAUAUAGUUGACAGAUAUUGAGCUUUUUGAUCUUGUGUGUAUUGUCGGGUUUGUUUAAUGUACCCAAGAGUUAGUAUGUUUGGAGAAUAUAUUGAUGGAGACUUAUGUAUAUUUUGGUGUGUUUAGAGGGUACAUUGUUGUGCUUUGUAUAUUUUUGUAAUGUGUUUGGUUGAAACGCAUGAAAUUUUGUUAUUCUAUAUGGUGUGUCUAGAUUUAUCUUUGUAUCUAGACAAAAUUUUCAUGUUUGAUUAAUA